rnacentral:misc_RNA from 1 species
AAGUCGUAACAAGGUUUCCGUAGGUGAACCUGCGGAAGGAUCAUCAAUGAAAAAAUCCAGCCAAAACACUUGGGCAUUCUAGCCUGGUUGGUUGUCUUUAGGGAAACCUUUGACAUCAAGUAGGUCUAAGUUUUUUUAGACCAGGGAAUUGACGGAAAAAAAAUUAGACCAGAGAUUGGUCAAGGUAAACUUUCAGGUUCAAGUUUAACUCUUGACCUGAUAUUUACACUAGAAAAAAAAACAACUUUCGGCAACGGAUCUCUCGGCUCUCC